rnacentral:rRNA from 1 species
GACGAACGCUGGCGGCGUGCUUAACACAUGCAAGUCGAACGGAAAGGCCCUGCUUUUGUGGGGUGCUCGAGUGGCGAACGGGUGAGUAACACGUGAGUAACCUGCCCUUGACUUUGGGAUAACUUCAUGAAACUGGGGCUAAUACCGGAUAGGAGCUCCUGCUGCAUGGUGGGGGUUGGAAAGUUUCGGCGGUUGGGGAGGGACUCGCGGCUUAUCAGCUUGUUGGUGGGGUAGUGGCUUACCAAGGCUUUGACGGGUAGCCGGCCUGAGAGGGUGACCGGCCACAUUGGGACUGAGAUACGGCACAGACUCCUACGGGAGGCAGCAGUGGGGAAUAUUGCACAAUGGGCGGAAGCCUGCUGCAGCCACGCCGCGUGCGGGAUGACGGCCUUCGGGUUGUAAACCGCUUUCGCCUGUGACGAAGCGUGAGUGACGGUAAUGGGUAAAGAAGCACCGGCUAACUACGUG